UACGGAGGGGGCUAGCGUUGUUCGGAAUUACUGGGCGUAAAGCGCACGUAGGCGGACUGUCAAGUCGGGGGUGAAAUCCCGGGGCUCAACCCCGGAACUGCCCUCGAUACUGGCAGUCUAGAGGAAGGUAGAGGCUAGUGGAAUGGCGAGUGUAGAGGUGAAAUUCGUAGAUAUUCGCCGGAACUCCAGUGGCGAAGGCGACUGGCUGGACCUUUUCUGACGCUGAGGUGCGAAAGCGUGGGGAGCAAACAGG
rnacentral:rRNA from 1 species